rnacentral:rRNA from 1 species
GACGAACGUUGGCGGCGUGCUUAACACAUGCAAGUCGAACGGAAAGGCCCUGCUUUUGUGGGGUGCUCGAGUGGCGAACGGGUGAGUAACACGUGAGUAACCUGCCCUUGACUUUGGGAUAACUUCAGGAAACUGGGGCUAAUACCGGAUAGGAGCUCCUGCUGCAUGGUGGGGGUUGGAAAGUUUCGGCGGUUGGGGAUGGACUCGCGGCUUAUCAGCUUGUUGGUGGGGUAGUGGCUUACCAAGGCUUUGACGGGUAGCCGGCCUGAGAGGGUGACCGGCCACAUUGGGACUGAGAUACGGCCCAGACUCCUACGGGAGGCAGCAGUGGGGAAUAUUGCACAAUGGGCGGAAGCCUGAUGCAGCAACGCCGCGUGCGGGAUGACGGCCUUCGGGUUGUAAACCGCUUUCGCCUGUGACGAAGCGUGAGUGACGGUAAUGGGUAAAGAAGCACCGGCUAACUACGUGCCAGCAGCCGCGGUGAUACGUAGGGUGCGAGCGUUGUCCGGAUUUAUUGGGCGUAAAGGGCUCGUAGGUGGUUGAUCGCGUCGGAAGUGUAAUCUUGGGGCUUAACCCUGAGCGUGCUUUCGAUACGGGUUGACUUGAGGAAGGUAGGGGAGAAUGGAAUUCCUGGUGGAGCGGUGGAAUGCGCAGAUAUCAGGAGGAACACCAGUGGCGAAGGCGGUUCUCUGGGCCUUUCCUGGCGCUGAGGAGCGAAAGCGUGGGGAGCGAACAGGCUUAGAUACCCUGGUAGUCCACGCUGUAAACGGUGGGUACUAGGUGUGGGGUCCAUUCCACGGGUUCCGUGCCGUAGCUAACGCUUUAAGUACCCCGCCUGGGGAGUACGGCCGCAAGGCUAAAACUCAAAGGAAUUGACGGGGCCCCGCACAAGCGGCGGAGCAUGCGGAUUAAUUCGAUGCAACGCGUAGAACCUUACCUGGGUUUGACAUGGAUCGGGAGUGCUCAGAGAUGGGUGUGCCUCUUUUGGGGUCGGUUCACAGGUGGUGCAUGCCUGUCGUCAGCUCGUGUCGUGAGAUGUUGGGUUAAGUCCCGCAACGAGCGCAACCCUUGUUCACUGUUGCCAGCACGUUAUGGUGGGGACUCAGUGGAGACCGCCGGGGUCAACUCGGAGGAAGGUGGGGAUGACGUCAAGUCCUCAUGCCCCUUAUGUCCAGGGCUUCACGCAUGCUACAAUGGCUGGUACAGAGAGUGGCGAGCCUGUGAGGGUGAGCGAAUCUCGGAAAGCCGGUCUCAGUUCGGAUUGGGGUCUGCAACUCGACCUCAUGAAGUCGGAGUCGCUAGUAAUCGCAGAUCAGCAACGCUGCGGUGAAUACGUUCCCGGGGCU